rnacentral:lncRNA from 1 species
GCUACAUACAGGCACUGGUUAGUCGGGCUAAUUGAGGUAGAUGUACAUCAAUGUAUAGUUAAAGGGACUAUGCAUAUAGAUAAACAGAGAGUAGCAGCAGCGUAAAAGAGGGGUUGGGGGCGGGUAUUGUGGUCAUUAUGGGGUAUUGUGUCAAUUUGGGGUAUUGUGUCAUUAUGGGGUAUUGUGUCAUUAUGGGGUAUUGUGUCGUUAUGGGGUAUUGUGUCAUUACGGGGUAUUGUGUCGUUACGGGGUAUUGUGUCGUUAUGGGGUAUUGUGUCGUUAUGGGGUAUUGUGUCAUUAUGGGGUAUUGUGUCGUUAUGGGUUAUUGUGUCAUUACGGGGUAUUGUGUCGUUAGGGGGUAGGGUGUCAUGGGUGUGUUCGAUGGUAGUGUGUCGUGUGGGGUAUUGUGUCAUUAUGGGUAUUGUGUCAGUAUGGGGUAUUGUGUCGUCAUGG